rnacentral:rRNA from 1 species
GGAUUAGAUACCCUGGUAGUCCACGCUGUAAACGAUGUCAACUAGCCGUUGGUCAUAUUAUAAAUGAUUAGUGGCGCAGCUAACGCGAUAAGUUGACCGCCUGGGGAGUACGGCCGCAAGGCUAAAACUCAAAUGAAUUGACGGGGGCCCGCACAAGCGGUGGAGCAUGUGGUUUAAUUCGAUGCAACGCGAAGAACCUUACCAUCCCUUGACAUCCUCAGAACUUGUAAGAGAUUACUUGGUGCCUUCGGGAACUGAGUGACAGGUGCUGCAUGGCUGUCGUCAGCUCGUGCCG